rnacentral:rRNA from 1 species
UAUAAUGCAGUCGAGCGACUGAUUAGAAGCUUGCUUCUAUGACGUUAGCGGCGGACGGGUGAGUAACACGUGGGCAACCUGCCUGUAAGACUGGGAUAACUUCGGGAAACCGAAGCUAAUACCGGAUAGGAUCUUCUCCUUCAUGGGAGAUGAUUGAAAGAUGGUUUCGGCUAUCACUUACAGAUGGGCCCGCGGUGCAUUAGCUAGUUGGUGAGGUAACGGCUCACCAAGGCAACGAUGCAUAGCCGACCUGAGAGGGUGAUCGGCCACACUGGGACUGAGACACGGCCCAGACUCCUACGGGAGGCAGCAGUAGGGAAUCUUCCGCAAUGGACGAAAGUCUGACGGAGCAACGCCGCGUGAGUGAUGAAGGCUUUCGGGUCGUAAAACUCUGUUGUUAGGGAAGAACAAGUACGAGAGUAACUGCUCGUACCUUGACGGUACCUAACCAGAAAGCCACGGCUAACUACGUGCCAGCAGCCGCGGUAAUACGUAGGUGGCAAGCGUUAUCCGGAAUUAUUGGGCGUAAAGCGCGCGCAGGCGGUUUCUUAAGUCUGAUGUGAAAGCCCACGGCUCAACCGUGGAGGGUCAUUGGAAACUGGGGAACUUGAGUGCAGAAGAGAAAAGCGGAAUUCCACGUGUAGCGGUGAAAUGCGUAGAGAUGUGGAGGAACACCAGUGGCGAAGGC